UGCAGCGACAAAACCUCUAAUAUUAGAGGGGUCUCCCUGUCAGACAGCCCUUUCGUCUUUUCAGAUGCUUCUAACAGAUUCACAGCCAUGGGUUGCGACAAUUAUGCAAUGCUUCUCCAAGGUCUUGGUAACACUGUUGGUGGGUGCCUGUCAAUUUGUCUUAGUGGAUCUAAUACAACUACAAGUGGCUGCUAUGGCCUCAAUUGCUGCCAAGCUGAAAUUCCUCCUUAUGUCCAGUCAUUUGAAGCAAACAUGAC
rnacentral:misc_RNA from 1 species